rnacentral:rRNA from 1 species
GGAUUCCCUCAGUAACGGCGAGUGAAGCGGGAAGAGCUCAAAUUUAAAAUCGGUCAAGUUAAUUAUCAACUUGAAUCGAGUUGUAGUUUGAAGAAGUGUUUUAUCGACUUCGAUUCUGGCCAAAAUCCUUUGGAACAAGGUAUCAUAGAGGGUGAAAGUCCCGUUUUUAGCCAGAAAUUCGCAAGUCAUUGUGAUACACUUUCAAAGAGUCGAGUUGUUUGGGAAUGCAGCUCAAAAUGGGUGGUAAAUUUCAUCCAAAGCUAAAUAUUGGCAAGAGACCGAUAGCAAACAAGUACCGUGAGGGAAAGAUGAAAAGAACUUUGAAAAGAGAGUUAAAUAGUACGUGAAAUUGUUAAAAGGGAAACGAUUGAAAUCAGUGUUGCGAGCUGAAAAUCAACGUUGUGAUAUGGGGACUCUGAGUAGAGGUAAUAAUUUUGAGAGUCCUAAAAAACCUCCCUCUACCCAGUAGCUUCAUAAUUCCUGCGUGCACUUUUCUGUUUUUAUCGCAGGUCAACAUCAAUUUCUACCAGUGGAAAAAAAAUGGAGAAAUGUAGAACUUCGGUUUGUUAUAGUCUUCAUUCCACGCAAUGGUAGGGAUUGAGGAUUGCAGUGUACGCCAAAUAUUUUAGGGGCGAAAGUCUUGGGUAGAUUACCAGAAAUUGGGCAGAGACAGCUUGCUGACUCUGUGUUCAACGUAAGAUAAUAGACUUGGGUAACUUUUUUUUUCGUACACUAAGGAUGUUGACAAAAUGGUUUUAACCGACCCGUCUUGAAACACGGACCAAGGAGUCUAACAAAUCUGCGAGUAUUUGGGUGAUCAAACCCCAUAUGCGCAAUGAAAGUGAAUGAAAGUGGGAUAACUCUCCUAGAGAGUUUGCACCAUUGACCGAUCUUUACUUUUAAGUAUAGAUUUGAGUAAGAGCAUAUUUGUUAGGACCCGAAAGAUGGUGAACUAUGCCUGAAUAGGGUGAAGCCAGAGGAAACUCUGGUGGAAGCUCGUAGCGAUUCUGACGUGCAAAUCGAUCGUCAAAUUUGGGUAUAGGGGCGAAA